rnacentral:lncRNA from 1 species
CGGUGUCCAUGACGAAAGGAAGGGUUUGAGGCGGAGUUCCAAAUUUGAGGGAGAUAGUGUAGCCCCCAUAACUGUGAGAAAAUAGGGGAGCCCUGAGAAGAGAAGAGGUAGUAUUAUCGGCCUUGGCUUUGGGAUGUUUGAGGUGGUGGGCUCUUGCAACAGAAGAAGUGACUAAGUUGUUGAGAAUUUGGUAAGGAUGGGAGGAAGAAGGGUGAGGGAAGGGAGAGAGGGAGAGUUUGAUGGUGGCGGCGGCGGCGCCGGCUGACAUCAAUGUUGUGGAGAUUAUAAAGAAAGAUAAGAAGAAGAUGAAAGGCAGAGAAGCCAUGACAACA